UCAUCGUCUGUGUUGUAAUUGUUGGGUUUGUAUUUAUUGGGAUAUAUUGUCAUAGAAGGAAACUUGGCCAAAAGAAAAUGUUCAUAGAUGACGUGAAUAUGCAAGAAUUACAAGAUAAUGUGAAUGAUGACCACUUGUACGCAAAUAUCGCAAUGGAUAAAAUGGAACCGAGGUCACCUUACGAUAUUCCACUUGAGCAACUUCUCGAAAGGUACAAUCGUU